rnacentral:rRNA from 1 species
AUUGAACGCUGGCGGCAUGCUUUACACAUGCAAGUCGAACGGUAACAGGCCGCAAGGUGCUGACGAGUGGCGAACGGGUGAGUAAUGCAUCGGAACGUGCCCAGUCGUGGGGGAUAACGCAGCGAAAGCUGUGCUAAUACCGCAUACGAUCUAUGGAUGAAAGCGGGGGACCGUAAGGCCUCGCGCGAUUGGAGCGGCCGAUGUCAGAUUAGGUAGUUGGUGGGGUAAAGGCCUACCAAGCCGACGAUCUGUAGCUGGUCUGAGAGGACGACCGGCCAAACUGGGACUGAGACACGGCCCAGACUCCAACGGGAGGCAGCAGUGGGGAAUUUUGGACAAUGGGCGCAAGCCUGAUCCAGCAAUGCCGCGUGCAGGAAGAAGGCCUUCGGGUUGUAAACUGCUUUUGUACGGAACGAAACGGCCUGGGUUAAUACCCUGGGCUAAUGACGGUACCGUAAGAAUAAGCACCGGCUAACUACGUGCCAGCAGCCGCCGUAACAC